rnacentral:rRNA from 1 species
GACGAACGCUGGCGGCGUGCUUAACACAUGCAAGUCGAACGGAAAGGCCCUGCUUUUGUGGGGUGCUCGAGUGGCGAACGGGUGAGUAACACGUGAGUAACCUGCCCUUGACUUUGGGAUAACUUCAGGCAACUGGGGCUAAUACCGGAUAGGAGCUCCUGCUGCAUGGUGGGGGUUGGAAAGUUUCGGCGGUGGGGGAUGGACUCGCGGCUUAUCAGCUUGUUGGUGGGGUAGUGGCUUACCAAGGCUUUGACGGGUAGCCGGCCUGAGAGGGUGACCGGCCACAUUGGGACUGAGAUACGGCACAGACUCCUACGGGAGGCAGCAGUGGGGAAUAUUGCACAAUGGGCGGAAGCCUGAUGCAGCAACGCCGCGUGCGGGAUGACGGCCUUCGGGUUGUAAACCGCUUUCGCCUGUGACGAAGCGUGAGUGACGGUAAUGGGUAAAGAAGCACCGGCUAACUACGUG